rnacentral:tmRNA from 1 species
GGGGCUGCUCGGUUUUGACAGCAAUGAUAAUGGAUUUGUAAGCAUGCCGGGUGACGAUGAUGAAUCCCGUAAACAACCUCAUCAAAACAAUAAACGGCGAAUAUAACUACGCUCUUGCUGCGUAAGUUGAAGGUUUAGUAAACUUAUGCUUAAUCGCUGCACAAGGUGCGGCGACGGGACAUUCCGCGGAUGGAGAUGCCUGAUUCCGGUCCGGUUACGGGGUGCGCGAAAUUUCGGGCUGGCAACAGUGGAGCCUUGACACUGUUGUAAGAUUAAGAGGAUAAGGAGGAGUUUGGAUGUGAGUUUCCGGGCUUUUCCCGACAAUCAACAACUUACUAAACAUGUAGAAAGCACUUCUGUUAGUUGUUUGGACGCGGGUUCGACUCCCGCCAGCUCCACU